AGUGGUGUUUUAGUUUCAGUCGAAAGCGCAGGAGGCCAACAUCAUUGCUGAGACCUUGCGUAGGGAUCUGCCAAAGCAAAGGGCUCAGGCCCAUGAAAUAAUGAUGUCUUACAGUCUGUGGCAUCUUGGAUCUGAUGAAAUACAAUAGCGCUUACCAAGCCCAAGGCACCGUUCGUUUCAAUCUCACGACAUACCUGGGAGGAUAAGUACUAUUCUUUUCUACAUUUUACAGGUAAGGAAAUGGGAUUUGACCUUGGGCAGUCUCACUCCGGAGCCCAUGCCCUUAGAAUCCUGACACCGUACCUCUCUGUGAUGACAGCACCACGUGCCUCAUGUAGAGGACUCCCUGUGUGCCAGGCCCUGCCCUAAAUGCUUCCUACCUGUAUGUGCUCAUCUAAUCCUCAAUCACCAUAUGAGACAGUUGCUAGUAUUGUCUUCAUUAUACAGAAGAGGAAACUGAGGCACUGAGAGGUUAUGAAACUUGCUUGAAGCCACACAGCUAACAGGUGGAAGAACUGGGAUUUGGCUACAGAGGUCAUGCUCGUAAUACUCUUUAUGCUGCCCUUGGUAUAAAAAGAGAGGGUUAUGAUAUAUUCGUAUUUGCAAAAUGGCAUCUUAGAAGGAAUAAAAGAAGCAAUUACAAGUGUAUCAUUAGGGUAGUAGGUGGGAGCUGAGUAACUGGGAAGGGGCUGGGAAACAAAACUUCCUAUUGUAUACCUUUUUCUUAUUUGAUUUUUGUCUCCUGUCAGUGUAUGACCUGUUUGAACCAAGCACAAUGACAAUUUUAACUUUAAAUUAAUAAACCAGUGGUGGUCGUAAGUAUCAAUAAGAUUUCUGUAUCCAUCUGCUCUUUUAAUAUCUAUCUUUUAAGCCUCAGAAGGUUUUUGCUUUAUUGUUAUUAAAAUAGCAAUGGAAAAGA